UUUGGUUUGAGAGAGGAUACGGUAUAUUUAAUAUUGUAAAGUAAUAUUAUGGCUCAAAAUACAAAAUUUUACGUCAGCUUAUAAAAAUUAUAGAUAUAAUAUAAAAGUUUAAUAUUAAUAUUAAUAAAAAAGAAAAAAAUUUAAAAAAACUGUGAGAAACUACGUCAAAACUGUGUUCAUUAUUAUAUUCAUCCGAAUUUAUAAGGUUACGAUAUUGUGCGAGCGCGAUAUCUGUCAAAUAACACGAGACGCUCAUCAGUCCCAAGUCACGCUCGUUCGUCGUUCGUAUCGGUAAGUAUUGUAUAGGUGGGCAAGUAGGUACAGACAUAUACGCCGCAGCAGUCAGUGUGUCAUAAUAUAACGUGCGCGCACGCCUCGGGGCUUUCGAUAAUUACUGUUGCUGUCGCGAUUGCAGUUGCUAUCGGUGGUAUAGCCAUUGCAGUCCGUGUCCGUCGCUCUUCCUCCUACGCCAAAGCGGAACACGCCGUCUCUUUUAUGUACACUUGUAGACGGCCGGUCACGCCACGCGAUUCUUGCACACGCUUCGUAGCCGGGGUUAUUAUGCAGAUUAUUAUUAUAUUGUUGACGGUUAUGCGGGGCCGUCAAUCGGCGGCAAGACUUAACCCCGAUUUCAAGCACACGUUAUUGUACUAUCCAUUGGACGUGGACGCUUUAUGAAGGCAAAAUUAAAAAAAAUACGUGAAAAUACUCAUCGCGCGAUGUCGUGUUAGAAACACGUAGUUUGUAUGGCGAAAGUAUUCAUAAGUAUAUAUUUAUGUAUACUUGUACUGCUGCAGAAUACAUGCAAGUACAACACCAAUCAUUAACCAACUCAUAAAAAAUUAAGUUUUGGUUCAUCGAGUCUGAUGACCGGUUAGCGAUACGACUAAUACAGCACCGCGACGACGUAAAAGAGCAGUAUAAUACCUUGUGAUUUGACACAGUUUUUCUUGCUCUUGUGUCUUGUGGAAAAUAAGUUUGUUUGUUUACUACAAUAUAAUAUGUAUAUUAUAUUAUAUAAGUAUAGAACAAGGAAAUGUGUAUUAUAAUAUGAUAAGAUUAUUUACAACUUGUUAUCUUAUUUUUAAAUUAUUAAUAAAAUUGUUAAAUUACUACUUUUUAUG